rnacentral:rRNA from 1 species
UGGGGAAUAUUGCACAAUGGGGGAAACCCUGAUGCAGCGACGCCGCGUGAGCGAAGAAGUAUUUCGGUAUGUAAAGCUCUAUCAGCAGGGAAGAAAAUGACGGUACCUGACUAAGAAGCCCCGGCUAACUACGUGCCAGCAGCCGCGGUAAUACGUAGGGGGCAAGCGUUAUCCGGAUUUACUGGGUGUAAAGGGAGCGCAGGCGGUCUUGCAAGUCUGAUGUGAAAGCCCGCGGCUCAACUGCGGGACUGCAUUGGAAACUGUGGGACUUGAGUGUCGGAGGGGCAAGUGGAAUUCCUAGUGUAGCGGUGAAAUGCGUAGAUAUUAGGAGGAACACCAGUGGCGAAGGCGGCUUGCUGGACGACAACUGACGCUGAGGCUCGAAAGCGUGGGGAGCAAACAGG